rnacentral:rRNA from 1 species
AUUGAACGCUGGCGGCAGGCAUAACACAUGCAAGUCGAACGAGUGGCGGACGGGUGAGUAAUGUCUGGGAAACUGCCUGAUGGAGGGGGAUAACUAAUGGAAACGGUAGCUAAUACCGCAUACCAUCAGAUGUGCCCAGAUGGGAUUAGCGAGGUGGUGGGGUAACGGCUCACCAAGGCGACGAUCCCUAGCUGGUGUGAUGGGAGGACCAGCAACACUGGAACUGAGACACGGUCCAGGCUCCGACGGGAGGCAGCAGGGGGGAAUAGUGCACAAUGGGCGCAAGCCUGAUGCAGCCAUGCCGCGUGUAUGAAGAAGGCCUUCGGGUUGUAAAGUACUUUCAGCGGGGAGGCGUUACCCGCAGAAGAAGCACCGGCGAACUCCGUGCCAGCAGCCGCGGUAAUUC